UUCACUUGCCUGUCUACGGUUCCCUUGCGUGUGCUCGGGAUAGGUGUUUUGUAUAAAUGUUUCGCCAUAUUAUUAAGUAUUCUCCUUUCAGAAUCCUCUAUUUUAGUUCUUCCACCCAUGCAAUAG
rnacentral:rRNA from 1 species